CAUCUCUAACCAAACAGUCCCCUUUCAACGUUAACCUUCAACCCAACAACGUUCCUCUCACCUCUCUCUCGUCCACAUCGCCGCCACGCCACCUCCCAUCACGUCACCUCACCACCACCACGCCCAUAUCCCACAAAAUCCGCUACCUACACCCCUCUUCUCCUUUCUCACACUCCAUCUCUGAAGCUUGCAGGCUCCAUGUGCGAUUUCAGCGGAUUUCAUGCUCUUCAAGAGGAUUCGGAGACUCGACGACGAUAGUAGCCUCAGUUCGCUGUCACAAAGAAGGUAAUCGCAUUCGUCCUAUCUUCGUCUUUAAUUUAGUAGAAGUGGAAAUGUAGUCGUUCAAGUAUUUCUUGUCGUUUAUUUGGUUUAGUUGGCUGCUGGAAUAUGUAUUCUCCUCGUUUGUUAUAAAAUAGCGUAAAAACAACUAAUUUCGUCGAAUAUGUGUUUAACUCCCAUCGCCCCGUCGCUGCUCGGGAAAAAGGCAACAUUCAUCUCCUCUUUCAUUUCCUGUUCACUGUUUUAGGCUUAGGAAAUGUUUAUUAAUUAUUUGGUUGUUUGCUGGUUUAGUUGGAAGUAAUUAAUUAAAUUUAUGUGAUUAGUUGGUCGUCGUCAUUAGCUUGCCGCUAUUAUUAGUUUGAUUGUCACUAUCAAUAACGUCUUUAUUGUGUUGUCAACUUGUUAAUGCUGAUCAGCUUUAAAUAGGCUUUUAACUCUUUGUUUAGUUUCAACAAAUCUGUUGUAGGCUAAGCUUUAUUUGAAUCAUAUCUUCAAACCUCUUCCCUCACUUUUUAGUCCUGUUUUCAGCCUGUUGUUGUUAGAUAUCUACAGCUCAUUUUGUGUUUCUCUCUAUAGGUCGUCUUACAGUCCAAAAAUGUAGGAAUUAACCUAAAUUAGUAAUCUUUGUUAUUUUAGCAUAUCGUUACAUCUGUCCAUUAGAGUCUAGUUAUCAGUUUGGGGCUAACUAUUUCAUUAUAAGUGAAUCAGGUUACUAGUUUAGUAAUUUUCCUCUUCUUUCCAUUUCUUUCAAUUCUACUUUUCUAUACUUGCUUUAGCAUGUUUAACAUUGGGAUUCCUGUUUGUUUGGAUUCAAUUGUAGUUAGCAAAGCUGUUGUCAUGGCUGUUUCUGCAGUUACUAGUGUUGCUUAAUUAUUUGAUCUUAGAAAUCAUGAUCUGCACUUUGGAAUAACAGAGGUCAUGGAUCAGUAGGACCCAAAGUUAAGUAAGUCCAAAGUUAACUGAUUGCCUGUUUGAUUGAUCAUUGAGAAAAGAAAAAAUAUGCUUUGUUGAGUUAUAAUGUAUCCUUGUUUCUCUUUAAGGAUGUGGGAAAGCAAUUUGGUAGAGCUCAUUGUAUGGUUAAUUUUAGCACUGUCCACUCCCAUCUUAAAUUCAACUUGUGUUUCAAGUUCAUUCCAAGCAAUGGAUAGGUUCAAUCAUUAGUUUAGUAAUUUUCCUUUUGGUUUAAUGUUCUAUGGAGUUCUUCCUAUUUUCAAGGUUAUGUGGCUUAGCUUUGGUUUUAGUAUAGUCUGAAUAAGAAAUAUUAGUCUAUCUAAUUCUUUAAAUGUUUAAACUAGGAGUAGAGAACUGCAUUUCCUAGCGUGUUGGAUCAGUUCAAAAAAUAGAAGGCAAUGGUUAACUUGUACUCAGAUUUCAAUUCAUUUCAAAGUAAUAGCUUUGGUUUUCUCUAGAUUUUCCCUUUUUUUAAGUCAAUAACCCCUUUUGUAGUAAUCUGCUUUUAUUUUCUAGAAUCAGUUCUUUCUCAUGCAUGUUAAGUGUUUUUAAACUAAAAGCCGUUUUAGAAUAUAUUUUUUUAGGUCCAAAAGUGUUCUUUCUAUUCUCAAAGAGAUGCCUAUGUUGAACCAGAGAUAUUUUUGUUUUGACCUUAACGAGAUUUUACUUCAAAUCUCACUCCCAGGCCCUUUCUCUUUGAAAUCUGAGCUUUAAAUCUUUCACAUAUUUGUCUUCAAACUCAAUAAAGUAUUUUCAAAUAGUUGCCGUUCUAUCUAACCUUGUUUCUUCACAUUUCAUGGGUAGUUCAUGAUUUUCCCAUAACGAAUUUGCUACAAGAAACUUAUUAUCAUUGCUACUUGAAUUGAGUGGAAUACAUGUGUGAAGUAUUGUUGAUUGUAGUUCAGCCUAUUUACUUAAUUGUAUGGUAUAAAAUGUGCAAGAUAUGUCAUUUUGUUUGGUAUGGCUGUUAGCUUAUGUGACUCUCCAGAACAUAAACCAUCAGUCAUCUUCCCUCUCUACUUCCAAACUUCUGAUUCGUUUCAUUGAACCAAGGUUUUUUUUAGAACUAAUCUUUAGCAACGUGGAUAUGGAGUAGUUAGUUUACUGUUUAUUUCUUGUUCGAUAAGCUGGUGUCUAAACUCUUUUAAAGGAUUCUCUACUGUAAAAGAUUAGUGAAUCUGUCAUAACUUAAGAUCCAUUAGAAUCACAUUUUCUUGAAAUCUUUUUUCCCUUUUUCAGAACUAUUAGAGAUUAACUGGUAAACCUGGAAAUCCUUGAUAAUAGAACUAGUUCAAUUACACCUUCAGUUUUGAAUUCUUCCAUGAAAAGAUAGUUAGUUGUCGUCAUGUAACAUUUAAAUUCCUAUCUUACAUAGAUUCUUUUUUUUCUCCCUUUUAAAACAGUUAUGAGUUAAUUACCUUAAAUGUUCUAGGAAGAAUGCUAGUUGUUGGUUCAGGUGGGAGUUGAUCACUUUUAGUAUGAUUUUUAAAUUUGAGGCAUGACCUGCGAAUAGUGGUAUUUAACGAACUAAAGAGAAGUGAGAAUGCCAACUUUCUUCUUCGAGGCUUAAACCUGUUUUUCUUGGUGGCUUCAAAUGAUAGAGCAUGACAUUGGUAGCGACUUAGAGAUCAUAUCUAUAGGUCUAAAUAGCCUAUGUUCAAUCUGAAACAGGACCCUUUUGUUCACAUUUGUACAAGUCAAUAACUAGGAUCAUUUUUUUUAGUUGGUUCAGAUCUUUUAUGAUGAUGUCACGAAGUUCUGAAGUUUGUUAAUGCUCAUGUGCAGUGGGUAUUUUCAAAUCUCCCAGGAUAUUUAUUAUAAAAAAGAAAUGUUUGAAGAAGUGUCCUUCCUUUACAUCUUAGAAAAAUAAAAGCACUUCCUUGUGAGAGUAUUUUCUUUACUUCUAACUAGUACUUUCCUUCCUGUCAUAAUUUUCUUAACUCUAAUUCUUACUAUAAUCAGAUACCAUAUGAAAUGAACAUGUUAGCUUAGUUUGAUCCUAUACAUAGAUUCUGUCUACAUGAUAUUUGUGAAGAUUUAUUAAAGUAUAUAGUUAUAUAGAUUUUUCUAGCUUAUUAAUUUUAGUUUGAAUGUCGCUUUGGAAAUACAGAUUCGACUAAAUCCAUAACUGGCUGCAAAAAAAAAAUAUUUCUAUACUAAGAAUAUAACCCACAAAUACUACGUUCUCUCGUUGUGCCUAAUUCGAACGUCAUUAUUUUGGUGCAUAACUUCGCUGCAUAAGCUCAUUGCAUUCUAUGACAUACAUAGCGGCAUUUUUGUCUUACAUGGGGAAAUAGUUGUUUUUUUUCUUUUUCUUUCCUUUCUGCUUUCAGUCCCUUUAAGUGGAAAUCUGAAAAUAUUGAUCCUUGUUUAAGUAUUGAUGGCAUCAUUAGAAAAUAAUUGAACCACUCUGUCUAUAAGAUGAUAUUUUUUCUUUAUUUACGAAAUCUGAUCUUUGGGACUGAUUUUGAUUAAGUUAAAGAUGAAGUGUUUAAACAAUGUGACUCGACAAGUUCUCUUCAAGCAAGAAAUAAACUCCCAGAUUUCAAAUUUAAAGAGUUAAUCUUCAUCUUCCUUCGACAUGGCGCAGUUACAGCUUACCGAGGACAUGACCUUAGAUAGGAGGGUUUGGAGGACCCAUAUUAGGGUAGAAGGCUAGUAGAUAGUCUCAUUACCCUGCCUUAUUAAUAGUCGCAUUAUCGUAGUAUAAUUUCUUGUGCUCUAAUUUAUGCUAUUAUGCUAUUAUCUGUUAUUUCCUGUGCUUUGAUUAUUCUAUGUUAUCUGUGUCGCUUGCGUUACUUCAUUUCCAUAUCGCUUUGAAUCUCUUAGCCGUAUCUGACCUCUUUUUAUGUUUUUAUUGAGUCGAGGGUCUCUCGGAAACAGCCAUCCUACCUUGGUAGGAGUAAGGUCUGCGUACACUCUACCCUCCCCAGACCCCACGUUGUGGGAUUUCACUGGGUUGUUGUUGUUGUUGUUGUUGUAAUCUUCAUCUUCCUUGGUUUAUGGUUUUUGGGAUCUAGUCAUAUUAGGGACUGUUCUGAAACUUGGCUUUCUAGUCAUUUUAAACUGUUUGUAAAAUUUAAACCAAAGCAUGAUAUUUUAAGGCAAGCAAGAUGCUGCAUCUUGAGCCAAAAUGCUGCUGCGCGUUAAGGCAACAAAUGUCACAUUUGAUGAAAAUGCUCGCUCCUAUAUGUUGUUUUGGGCUGAGAAGAGCAAAAUGUGAUCCUAGAGUUUCUGGUGUCCGUUGUUUGUUGUCUCACUAAAGGCUGCUGUUCUCAAAGAGCAGUUGCUACACUCGAGAAAAUGGUUUCUGCCCAUUUUUUGUUUGAUGCACUUUGAGCUGUUGCUGCACUAGGAAGAACAAAUACUACAUUUUGAUAUGUUUGUUGCUGCAUUUAUAAAACAGAAACUGAAACUACACUUUGGCUGUUGUAUUAGUUGGUUAUUGUUGUGAUUUUUAGCCAAGUUUUGGGCAGCUUUAAGGCUCAUUAGCUGUUGCUGUUUGGGCUGGCUGAUCUCUUUAUUUCGAGACCAUUGCUGGUGCAUUUUUUAGGUCAGUUUUGAGGCCAUAAUUGCUGCAUUUUGCUCGAAGUUUUGAGGCCAUUGCUGGUGCAUUCAACUCAGUUUAGAGGCCAUCAUCCCACGGCUGCUGCAUCUUUGGCUUCAGCAUUUGUUGUCUUGAAACUGUUUUAGAGCAGCUUGCUAGCACUUUUGGUAUCUUGCUGAAAAUAUUUGAACAAACUGUUUUAGAGCAGCUUGCCAGUACUGUUGUCUUGAUUCUUUUAUCUAGCUCUCAUUAAUUAAAGUUAUAUAGAUUCCUUUUUCCUUGUUGAGAAUUGUUUCUAAUCCUUAUCUUUAUUUUUUCUUUUUUCACGAGGAACCUUGGGAGUAUUUGGAGUUAUGGCAACUCCGGAUUCUACCCAUAUCAGAGAACAGCCAGUUGUAGGAUUUAAUUGCUCGUGUCUAGCGUCCCCGUCUUCCUUCCUCUCUUUAAAUUUCGUGUCUUCGUGUUAUCAUAUAUAUACAUGUUUAUAUUCUUGACUAACAUUUUUAUGGAUUGUAUUUGUAGCACAUUUGUUUCUCGCUUGUGUAGGAACUUAUGGAAAAAUAGUUAAGUAUGAUGGUAAAUUUAGUCACUACUUUUCCUCUCCCCUUGGAUAAUUAAUCUUGGCUUAGGUGUGUUAGAAAUGAAAA